AUUGAACGCUGGCGGCAGGCCUAACACAUGCAAGUCGAGCGGAGCGGCGGACGGGUGAGUAAUGCCUAGGAAUCUGCCUGGUAGUGGGGGAUAACGUCCGGAAACGGACGCUAAUACCGCAUACUAUCAGAUGAGCCUAGGUCGGAUUAGCUAUUUGGUGGGGUAAUGGCUCACCAAGGCGACCAUCCGUAACUGGUCUGAGAGGAUGAUCAGUCACACUGGAACUGAGACACGGUCCAGACUCCUACGGGAGGCAGCAGUGGGGAAUAUUGGACAAUGGGCGAAAGCCUGAUCCAGCCAUGCCGCGUGUAUGAAGAAGGCCCUAGGGUUGUAAAGUACUUUCAGUCGGGAGGCGUUACCGACAGAAGAAGCACCGGCUAACUCCGUGCCAGCAGCCGCGGUAAUUC
rnacentral:rRNA from 1 species